rnacentral:rRNA from 1 species
GCGGAUUAAUACCGUAUGAGGUCAUUUGAUGGCAUCUGAUUAUGACGAAAGGUUUGGCGGAUAAGGAUGGGGAUGCGUCCGAUUAGCUUGUUGGCGGGGUAACGGCCCACCAAGGCGACGAUCGGUAGGGGUUCUGAGAGGAAGGUCCCCCACAUUGGAACUGAGACACGGUCCAAACUCCUACGGGAGGCAGCAGUGAGGAAUAUUGGUCAAUGGGCGAGAGCCUGAACCAGCCAAGUAGCGUGCAGGAUGACGGCCCUAUGGGUUGUAAACUGCUUUUAUGCGGGGAUAAAGUGAGGGAUGCAUCCCUUUUUGCAGGUACCGCAUGAAUAAGGACCGGCUAAUUCCGUGCCAGCAGCCGCGGUAAUACGGAAGGUCCGGGCGUUAUCCGGAUUUAUUGGGUUUAAAGGGAGCGUAGGCUGGAGAUUAAGCGUGUUGUGAAAUGCCGCGGCUCAACCGUGGCACUGCAGCGCGAACUGGUUUCCUUGAGUGCGCUGAAAGUGGGCGGAAUUUGUGGUGUAGCGGUGAAAUGCUUAGAUAUCACGAAGAACUCCGAUUG